GAGACGAAGUUUACCUGCUUCUGCUGCACUCCAUCGUCAAUCCCAGUAUCCCACACACAAAACAAGUUUUAGAUUAUAAUAAAGAAUAUGUAAUGAUAACUUUUUUGGGAAACGUACGCGAACGUACGUGGCUGGCUGUAACUGUAGACCAAAUAAAUUUACUAAAAUGUGGUCGUCGUGUGGACUCUGUGGUGUUGGUGUUGAGGCUCAAGGCUCUCAGACUCUCCAUGCUGUUUGGCAGAUAAACAGCAUCCUUUUGGAUUGGAGGAACUGCCGAUGUCGGUUGAGUUACGGAUGUCUUCUUCCCCUUUCGUUAAAUCCCCUCUGUCCUCGUGUACACCCAUGUGAGUGUGGGUGUAUUCACGAGGACUUUCUUUUUCGUAUCCCGGAUGGUGGAUUCAAUCAAAUUCAGAUGGAUGGAUCGCUUGUGGAUAUGCCUGGCCGUAUUUCCCAGGCUUGAAGAUUUUAUGCCUGGACCAACCAUCAUAACAACACAAUGCAUAAUUUGCACAAAUGCAGCACAUGGAAGCUUAAAUCAGCUGUUUAAUAACAAUCAAGAUAAACAGUAACCUUUUGAUUGGAGAAACUACCUGUGUCGGUCGAAUGACGGAUCUCUUCUUCCCCUUUCUAUUAAUGUCCUCGUGUACAUCCAUGUGUGUGUGGGUGUAUUCCACGGGGACUUCCUAUUCCGCCUGGUGGAUUCAACUUCUCAGCGGGUGGAUGGAGCACAUUUGGACUGCCUGGCCGUAUUUCCAAGGCUUAAAGGUAGGAAAAUUGUACCUCCAUUCUUCCCUUUUGACUAUUUGGUGGCGUCGAUUCCAUUAUUUCGUAGCUAGGCCUUUGACUAGAACUGUUUUCACUUGCCGUUUUUGUUGACUCACAGUCAGGGUAGCCGUUUUUGUAAGUCACAACUCACUGGCAGUGUGUUGAUGAUUUUCUAUAUUUAUUAGAUCAUAAUCAAAUUAAAUUUGUUUAGAGAUAUUUAAUAUAUCUGUUGCGUUUAUAAAGUGCGACGGCCACUAGGUCGGUUUCCAUGACAAUUUCAAUUAAGAACUAGUGAAGCGUGAUAAUGAAAAAGAGACUUGAAAACAAUUCAACCGGUACGCCAUUGACGCAAUUGUGCACUAGCGAAGAAUAGCCCAGGCCCCCAGUAAUAAUCAAAAAAUUCCUAAAAGUAUCCCAGCAGAGAUCCGCGCAUGCGAGAAAAACUCUACGACGCCUUGGAUGAGAAAAGAAACGGGCAAACGCCCAGCAUAUCACACGGCAGUGGACAGGCUCAUCCUUUUAGUCUGUCCAUCACAAUAGUCCAGAAUGGACGACCAACUGGCUUCCUUCGUCAACUCCAGCAGCGCUCCGCAUCAUUCGCCGAUGAUUUCGUUCGAUUUCAACGUCAUGAAACAGAACCUCACGUCCGUCCAAGAGUUGUACCGCACCUCGGCCGUCACCGUGGCCAUGUUUCUCAAUUGCGUCGUCAUUUUGGCCUCUUUCGUUUGCGGCUGGAGUUUUACAGUUAAAAAUUUGAAAUUCGGUUUGUGUAUUCAGUAAGUGUAAUUGCAUUCACAGUUUAAUUUUGGCGAAGAAAUGCCCACCCCUUAAUGAAUUUCUAAUCGAAUGAAUUUUCUUCCCUCCCCUCCACCCCUUAAAAUUUCAUAGCCCAAAAUUUCUUAUCGACGUUAAACAAAAAUGUUUGCGAUGAAAAUGUUUCAUGUCGCCGAUGAAGUUGAACCUCAAAGGGACGCCCCAAUUUCCUCCUCCAACAUCAAACCCGUGAAAUGGGUGUAGUGGUUAUCGUUGUCAUCCAAAUAUAACAAUGAGCUAUAAGAAAUCCCCACCCAGACUUGAUCGCCUUUUUUCAAGUUGAGCGUCGACUGCAGGGUCACGGGACUGAAUUGAUCAACGGGGCCCUUACUCUCUUCAACACGACCCGACCCGAUUAAAUUCCCGUUCAAAAAAAGAUAAGAAGAAAACCAAGCAGACCAAGAAGAUGAAGAACAAGAACAAAAAGAAGAUUCUAGACGCGCCAGUCCCGUGAAAGAGAAGAAAUAAAUUCCCGGUCGUGGUGCCGUGAAUUUCCCCGAUGUCAAAUCCAUGGCAUUUCCCUCGUUCACCACCGCCAAAUUGAACGUUAUCGGAGUUCCAACUAGGUUAAAUGUAGAAUUUCUUUGGACGUAGAAAUAGACGGGCGCGGAUUUGACGUCAACAUAUCCGAUCCAUUUCUGGAAACCUUUUUCAUUAAUUAAAGAAUUAAAAAAUGGAUAAUUAGCUACAACUGAAUAAUUGGUGAGAAUUUCUAAAUCGUUUACCUUCAUCGUCAGGGAGUUUAGUGAAAUCGCAGUAAACGGAUUCCAUUUUCACCGAUCCCAUGACGGAAAAAAUUCCGCUCCACAUGUGGCCAAUCAUUUUGAGAUCCGCGCAUGAAGACGGCAGUCCGUUGAUGGAGACAACAGCUGAUUGAUUAUUGAUAAAUGGAACAGAAUCGGUUGCUUCUGCUGUGCAUUCAUUUUUCUCUCGUAAAAGGGAAGUUAAAAGCGAAUCUUGUUGUUCAACUUUGGCCUCCAGUUUUUCAAUUUUGACUUCCAGCUGGACAUUUUUGGCCUCUAAUUGAAUUACUUUCAAUGCCAAAUCUUGUCUUUGUUCAUUCUGUCAUAGAAAAUCAAAUGUGUUUACCCACAGUGAAUCACUAAAUUAAACUAAACAAUAUACUUACAUUUAGUUCGAGUUGCGCCUCCAGUUGUGUCACUUUUUCUACAAGUCUCACUUCCAAUUCUUGCAGUUUAUCUUCCAAGGAAAAUGGGGUAAGAGCAGAGGAACAAAUUGCCCCGCAACUCAAAAUCAGCAACAUCAAACCAAAACUAAUUGACAAACGAGCCAUUUUUUCUCGAUUUUCUUUGUAAGAAAAGUGUAGCAGAAGCAACACGUAACAAUCGACAGAAAAACCCACUUUGUUUAAAUAAGUUGAAAUACCUAUUGUGCGGUUUUAUCAAUCACCUAUCUUGCAACGAGUCCAUAAAAGAUAACCAUACCGAUAUUUUUUAUUCCAAAUUUGGUUUUUGCUCUUUCUUACUCAGCAAUGUUUUAUGUUUUAUGAUGACUUAAAUAGUUACGUCACUAUUAUUAUUCAAUUAUUCCGUUUAGUUUAGUUGUAUCUAUAGGCUCUUUUGAGAGAAAUAAUUUUUUUUUGGUUUUGGACGACGAUUAUUCUGCUUUAUCUUCGAUGCGUGAUGGCUCCUCACUGAUUGAUUGGUUGUCAUGACGCCGCUUUUCAUGACUCACCUGAAAACUGCCCAUUUUUCGUCAGUUUUUAGUCCAACAGAUGAAAACCAACAACAAAACAACUUGGUUCGACCCGUUGUUGCGUUCAAUUUAAAGGGAAAGGAAAACAAAAACGAAAUGUUUUGGAACUACAGGCUAGAUUACCAAAUGCAAGGAUCGUCUACAUGUGUGCAACUGGCAUAUCGGAAGUUCCGACCGAUGAACGCACCUUUUCAUGGGAGCAUCAGCUGGCAGUUGCGUGCAGACUACAGCCGUAACAAGGAUCAACAUAACAACACUAAUGUGUGACCAUUUAUCACUACGUCAUUAUCGACUCGGAUUAUUGUUUUCUUUUUUUUGUCGUUUUGUAAUUAUAAGUAUUAAAGUAUUUAGGUAAAUAAAUUCAAUCGUUUAAAGCCUUACACAGUUGCA
rnacentral:lncRNA from 1 species